rnacentral:rRNA from 1 species
UACGGGGGGAGCAAGCGUUGUUCGGAUUUACUGGGCGUAAAGGGCGCGUAGGCGGCCUCCGCAAGUCGACUGUGAAAUCUCUGGGCUUAACCCAGAACGGUCAGCCGAUACUGCGGGGCUAGAGUGCAGAAGGGGCAACUGGAAUUCUCGGUGUAGCGGUGAAAUGCGUAGAGAUCGGGUGGAACACCAGUGGCGAAGGCGGCAUCCUGGCCCUGACCUGACGCUGAGGCGCGAGAGCGUGGGGAGCAAACGGG